UAUAUUCUGUAGCAAGGUUAACCGUAUAGGGGAGCCGCAGGGAAACCGAGUCUUAACUGGGCGUUAAGUUGCAGGGUAUAGACCCGAAACCCGGUGAUCUAGCCAUGGGCAGGUUGAAGGUUGGGUAACACUAACUGGAGGACCGAACCGACUAAUGUUGAAAAAUUAGCGGAUGACUUGUGGCUGGGGGUGAAAGGCCAAUCAAACCGGGAGAUAGCUGGUUCUCCCCGAAAGCUAUUUAGGUAGCGCCUCGUGAACUCAUCUUCGGGGGUAGAGCACUGUUUCGGCUAGGGGGUCAUCC
rnacentral:rRNA from 1 species